rfam:Macaca mulatta chromosome 6, whole genome shotgun sequence.
GACUAGUCUGAAGGUAGUGAGUUACCUCAAUUGAGUGUUAGCAGUCACAGAUCAAACCCCUUGUUCUACUCUUUCCACCUUCUCACUCCUGCACUCACGACAACA